GGUUGGAUCAUUACAGAAAAUAUGAUAUUUUUUUUGCUUGUAAGAACAAAUCUUUUUUGUUUUUGCAGGUAAAAAGAAAACAAAUCAUAAAUUCAACACCCAACCUGUGAACUGUUUACUGUACUUGUUUGGCAGCCCACCUCAAACAUUUAUGUUUGGCAAGGAGGAGGAUUGGGCAAGAAACAAAACUUUUUUUAAAGUAUUGUUUCUCGCCCGCCCCCUCUGGGGCUGUCGAACGCAAAAUUUAAACAAACUCGUUAUGCGUAUCUUUAUUAGUCUACUUUUUUUUUAAUACAAAAAAAAACUUAUUAAAAAGAAAAAACAACUUUUGACAACGGAUCUCUUGGCUCUCGCAACGAUGAAGAACGUAGCGAAUUGCGAUAAGUAGUGUGAAUUGCAGAAUUCAGUGAAUCAUCGAAUUUUUGAACGCAUAUUGCGCUCUCUGGUAUUCCGGGGAGCAUGCCUGUUUGAGAACCGUUUUUACCUAUCACUUAAUUUUACUUCUUGUAAAAUACCAAGUGGAUUUGGGUAAUUGCUCUUUUCCUUGCGAAAAGAACAAUACCUUAAUUGAAUCGUCACGGAUCACAAUAACCCCUUAUACUAUUUAGUUAGUAGGGCAUGUGAUGGGGUUUUCGUUUGAAAGCAUUCCAUGGACGUUGAAGAUGUAGAUGAUGUGGGAUAUAAUUAAGUUUUUAUCCCCUUUUCUUGCAUCGUGUAGACAUGAUAUGGAACUUGUGAACAAGAACGAUUACAUUCCAAACUCAUUGCAUUUGCUUUCCUUAUUUUGUGAUACGUCUCAAUUUGACAUGCCAGGCAUCGUUCUCUUCCAUUUCUGUUUCUUUCUUUCGAGGAGGAAGGGGAAGGGGAAGCGCGGUGUAUACCUGAACACAUGGUCUCAAAUCAAGCAAGAGGACCCGCUGAACUUAAGCAUAUCAAUAAGCGGAGGAAAAGAAACCAACAGGGAUUCCCUUAGUAACGGCGAGUGAAGCGGGAACAGCUCAAUUUUGAAAUCUCACUGUUUCACAGUGCGAAUUGUAGUUUCUAGAAGCGCUUUCGGGGGCAGCCUGGGUUUAAGUCCGUUGGAACGCGGCAUCAUAGAGGGUGAGAAUCCCGUCUUUGAUCCGGUGCCUGCUCCUGUGUGAUGCGUUUUCGAAGAGUCGGAUAGUUUGGGAAUGCUGUCCAAAAUGGGUGGUAAAUACCAUCUAAAGCUAAAUAAUGGCGAGAGACCGAUAGCGAACAAGUACCGUGAGGGAAAGAUGAAAAGAACUUUGAAAAGAGAGUUAAACAGUACGUGAAAUUGUCAAAAGGGAAACGCUUGAAACCAGUAUUGCGCUGCGGAAAUCAGCUGUUCAUUAGAAUGGUGCACUUUUCGUAGUUGCGGGUCAGCAUCAGUUUGGUUUGGAGUACAAAGCCGUUAAACGUUGAACUUGUUCUAGUUGGCGGUAAUGCUCUGGGCUGGACUGAGGACUGCAGCUCUGUAUUUGGACACCCUGUCGCCAUUUGAACUUACUCUGUAGACAACUUGUUGAUUACAGUUUUUUGCGAAGAUGCUCGAUGGGUUUUGUCACAACUGAGCUUAGGAUGCUGACGAAAUGGUUUUAAACGACCCGUCUUGAAACACGGACCAAGGAGUCCAACACAUAUGCGAGUGUUUGGGUGGCAAACCCGAGCGCGUAAUGAAAGUGAAUGCAGGUGGGAUCCGCAAGGUGCACCAUCGACCGGUCUGGAUUCUUUUGAAAGAUCUGAGUAAGAGCAUAUUUGUUGGGACCCGAAAGAUGGUGAACUAUGCCUGAAUAGGGUGAAGCCAGAGGAAACUCUGGUGGAGGCUCGUAGCGGUUCUGACGUGCAAAUCGAUCGUCAAAUUUGGGUAUAGGGGCGAAAGACUAAUCGAACCAUCUAGUAGCUGGUUCCCUC
rnacentral:misc_RNA from 1 species